GUGAACUUCUGCACUCUGAUCGACGGUGGAAAGGAAGAUACUUUUCUAAAAAUGGCGGACAGAAGACUUGCAAGCAGUUACCAGUUGGAAAGCAGAAUGGUUUCUUCUCAGUCAAAGACGACAGUGCAACACACAGUGGUUAGGACCAGCCAUGUGAGAGUGUCUCAUCAGCAGAGUUCUCUGGCGGUUUCGAGCAGCAGCAGCAGCACAUCACCAACGACAAUAUUCACAAACUCAGAAACAAUCAGCAGUUUCCAAGGAAAGCCUAACAUUGAGGAAGAGUUUAAAAAGAUGAAAGAGAAGUUGUCUGAAUUCUCAAGCAAGUCGGGGUUUUAAACAAUCUGCUUCCACAUACACCAAUUGAUCAAGAGUCUCCUCAACGUCUCACAGAAGAAACUCUGUUGUUGAACAACAAUCUGAAGAGGAUCCUCAGGGUUGUCCCUAAUGUUCUUAUUUAAUGAAGAAUCCUUUGUAAAAUAAUUUCCAGUGGUUCUGAAAAAAUCCCCUUAACAGAUCCGGCCUUCUUUAUUAGCUUGUUGAGCUUCUUCAACAACAGACAUCACACACUACACAACUUAGAAGAUCUGCAGCAUCUUUCUGCAAACACCGAAAGACCUAACCUUCCUCAAGAAAUACAGUCUUCUAUGUCUCCUCUUAUAGAGACUGUCCCUCAUAUGAUCUCUUUCAGACUGCUUUGUGUCAGGGAUUGUGUAAUGGUAAGAAUAUCUCAUCAGGUAUGAUAAAAUGAUGUUUGCUUCACAUGACAUGACAGUUUUAUAUAGGAAACAGAACCAUGGCCACUCCAUGGCUCUAAAUAUCUCUGAUCAUGUUAUUUGACUCAUAUAUUCCUUUUAACAUGAUGUAAC